ensembl:lncRNA
UGAUUUACAAAUUUUAUAAUUGCAUUCAGAACACAUGACUCACAAGUGAGAGUGAGUCAAAUAAGUAAUUAGGGACCUACUAAGGUGUUAAGUGAGAUACUUAACCACAGGGACCAGAAAAAUAGGGACUCAUACCAAUUUUGACUGUUUGAAUGUAAUUGUUCUCUUUCCUUAAUUUUUUGUUUAACUAGACUCAAGCUUUCUCUGACUAUUCCCAAGUUAUUGGCCCAAAAACAUGUUCUCUGAGUGCCCCCUUUUGCAUGAAGUCAGGAGGUCAAGUCACCAUCUGUUCUGUGGUAUGACCUCUGCCAGGGGGUCUAGAGAGAAGUCAGGUAGCUGAUGAGCAUUUUCAAUUCAGAUAGAUCUUGAUCCAUACAUUGACUCAAGAGCUUAAAGUUUUGACUAUCAUAGACAAGUGCAGCGGUUCCCUGUUUUACCGAGUCUGCUGUCCCCACCCCUAUUACUAGGGGCACCAACAAGUUCAGUGAGAAAGUUCUAAAGGCGCUGCUCCGUCUCCUCCUGAAUAGUAACAUACUUGAGGAGUCAAAUGAACUAGAAUGCAGAAAUCACAAGUCUUGGUAAGAAUGAAGGAAUCUAAUGACCAUCAGCUUAGUGGUACCCAGGCAAGAAUUUUUAUUUGGCCGAAGAAUCUGUGGUACAAAAGCCAACAGCAAUUAGCAGAAGCAGAAGGGCCAAAGGCCCUGUGAUGGCUGACAUCAGAGUUACUACUUAGAAAGAGCCUGGGAAUAAGGAGGGUACUAGCCGUAAAUAUGAGGUCCCCCCUUUUUUUUUUGCAAUUUUUUUUAGUACAGCCAGAUUAAAAUCCCAAAUGGCUUGUAUAGAAAUAAGUUUUUCCUCAAAGGCUUUGUUUUUUAUAAAACAAAGAGGUAUUACAUCUCUUUAAGGGAAAGUGCCCUAUCAUAUUGUAAAAUUCUUUCAGUUAAUGAAUAUACCUGUUGACAAAUCUGAGUCCACUUUUCUAGUAUGUCAAUUGGCAUUACAGGUAGCCAUUUUGUCCCUUAUGUCCCCUUUUGACUUAGCAUUUCACCCUGUUGUUGGGGGGGCAGGAUUACUCUCUUCUGUGAUGACUUCCAGCUGAACCUGGGGCAUCAUCAGGGCCCAGGGAGUCUGAUAGGCUAGUCAAAGGAUGGGCAAUGGAGCAUUUACCAGAAGCAUCUUAUUAGCUGAUCCAGCUUAAGGGUCAUAGAACAGUCACAUUGGCUGAGUGGUUGACAUCAGCUUCCAGCAAGUCCAGAGCUCAGCAGUCUACAGUUACACAAAUGAUCCCCAGAUGGUGUCUGAUGACACAAUAUGGACUAGGAGAAAAAGAUAAAGUUUAGGAACUUAAAAGAAAAGCUUACAUUUGAAACUUUCAGGUCCACAGCUGUAACAUAACUAAUAAAAACUCAGAGACAGAUAUUGGGGUUCAAACUGAAGAUCAGAAAAGCAAAGCAACCCACAACUAGAGAGUUCUCACCUCUACCAAGGCCGGAUGGUCCUGUCCUCAGGUGACUGCAAACUGUACACUCUCCACUCCUGUCUCCACCCACCUUCUUCUAUUCUUCUCCAGUGCUGGGACUAAAGGUGUGCACACUGCCCAUCAUCUACAGCUGACUAGCGUGGCUUCUGGGACUAAAGGUGGCACACUGCCCAUCAUCUAUGGCUGACUAGUGUGGCUUCUGGGACUAAAGGUGUGCGUAAUGCCUGUAAGGACAUGCACCUGGAUGACCCCACCCCCAAUGACAGGCGGGGCAUGCAGAGGAAAACGUGCUACGUCAUCACCACGUCACCUGCCACGCAUCACGGCCUUCAUGAGGACUCUGUGCAUGCGUGAAACCUCAGUGCACAUGUGCAGUCUUUCCUUUAAAAGCCUGAGAUGCUGGGACUCUGUACACUUCCACUAGCCACUUUCCCAACUAAGCAUCUUUGGAACCCACUCAUCUGCCUGUUCGAUACAAUCGGUUCGGACCACUGGGUCCUUUUCUGUUUCAGGACAGCUGUGUCCCCUUCGGGACCAGGACCAUGGGCCGAUGGGUAUCCAGAGAGGAGCUUUUGCUGGUUUUUCCACUUGCCUCACCCAUGGGGAAUGCAUAAGAAAUCUUUCUGGUUGCAGCCAACAGGUGGGUAAACAGACAAAAAAAGUGGCUUAUGGUCACCAUUAUCUUGGCCAUGUGGUCUGACCUGGGGGCCACCAUCUUGGCCAUGUGACCUACCUGUAAGCAUGCCCUCUCCAGCAGCCUGUGCCUGCAAACCUGGCUGCCAGAUCUUUUUGUUUUUUAUUUAUUUAUUUUUGUCUGUGAUUUCUUCUUUCACGGCUCUGUUGCUCAUGGCUUGUUUACAGAAUACUGUGUCUUUCCAGGGCCCUAUGUUUAAGUCUACUCUGUCCCUUUAAAUCUCCUGUUGGUUUGCUACAAUGUAUAGAUAAGAGAUUACAUUCUGGUUCCCCCUUUUACUCUUAUCCAGUCCUGCUUGUCUCUGUACAUGUAAUUUAAAUUUAACUUUAUACUUAUCUAUAUAAUUCUAUAUGCAACUUAAACUGUUCUAAGUCUUAUAUUUCUAAAUUGCUAUGUAUCUUUAAAUGAUGGUAUACAUCUAAAGUCAUAAAGGUCUAAUUUAACUAAGUAUAUACAACUUAAAUUUAACUCAUGUAUCUUUAAAUGAUGAUAAAAAGUUUAAAAUCAUAAAGGUCUAUUUCAAAUUAACAAAAUAUUUAUACCAUUCAGUUGAUCCUGUAAGCAGUUUACAAAGGUACAGCUUUUUUAUUAGAAAAAGGGAUUUUUCUCUAACUAAAGGCAAAUUUUCAACUGCUGAGAUACUAAACAGACAGCCCUCAAAUGCUCAGAGAUCUAGAGAAUAUGGCAUUUAAAAUGUUUUGUUAAAAAGCUUUCUAUAACAGAGACAUAGGCCAGAUACUGGUGCCACCCCAUUUCUUCCAAGAAGACUGAUAGGCACUAAAGAAACUUCAUCUCGAGUCAGUGACAACACUGGUCACUGGGAAACCCUGCCCUUCACCUCAACUGCUACAAAAUACUCCAGACCGUGGACAAGAUGACAGUGGAAUCGACUUUCCCCAUGUUGCUUGGGCCAAUGGUGGUCGAGUCUUCCUAUAGUCUGGAAUCCACAGGUCACAUGCUAUAAGCAAGAAGGCAGGUGUCCUGCAGCCCGAUACUAUGGAUGGAGGACCUUGGGGAUGGCCGUUCAUACAGCCUGCUGGCAAGUCUCUGUUAUUCUUUAAUCAUUGAUUCAGGUAAAAUCUUAUCCUUCUCAAGAACUCUGAUGUUUUUGUCGACUGGUAGUCUUGCCAGCUUAAAGCAAAACAGAUUCCAGGAACAGGUAUUUUAGGGUUUAUCUAUGUGAAGAUAGGAAAGUGUAAGUUACGAAGGUGUGAGGAUGGAAAGGUCUAACACGGUGAAUAAAUGCAAGUUAUGAAGGUCUGAGAAUGGAAGGUAUAAAGGUCUGAGAAUGGAAGGUCUAAGAUGAUAAUGUAAAGUGUAUGAAUUAAAGUUAUGAAGGUCUGAGGAUAAAAAAGCUUAAGUGAUGAUAAAGUGAGUUGAGACAUUAAAAAGAAUGAAAUAUGUUCCGAUAUCUCUAUUUCUCAUGCUACUGUUCAUAGUAAAGUUCUACAAUGCCACUAUAGGAUCAUAACUACAAGGUCAAGACUAAGAUUUUCAUUGUCCUGAAAAUAUCUGUCAAUUUUAAAAUGUUAAUGCUUUCAGCCAAGUUGCUUCUAACAAAAUAUGCUGCUAAUGUGUCUAAUACUUAUGUUUCCACAAUCUCUAAGGAUUCUUAUAAGUUCCAGGGAGCUGAAUUGGAUCCAAACAAACAGGUCAGCUUCACUCCAGUUAUUCAGUCUUUGCCUGGUCCCAGGACUCUCUUCCCUCAUGUUGGGACUCCUCGGGAACCCCUCCUCCAUCAUACAAUCUUCCCCUCAAGUGACAGGACCUAAGAAAAUUUUUUUCUAAACUUAACCUUGUCCUCUGCUCUGCCAACAUCUUGCCAGGUCUAAGAGGUGCCAGAGAGUUCUAUACAGCCUGGACUGCGAUGAAACAAUCAGCUACCCCAAGACGUGGCAGCACCCCAACCUUCUCAGGUCCCCCAAAGAUGGUCAACGUCCCCCACAUCAGCAGGAAGCAGUCUUGAGAAUUCGACACCCUUAUUCCUUAAUCUGCCAUGUCUAACACCCCACCUUUUUUUUUUUUUAAAUAAUAAGUAAAGGUGGGAUUGAAAGGUUCAGGCAUUAUGCUGGCCUGCCCCUGUUACCUGGCGGAAGAGGCAGUACCCUGGUCAGCCCAGGGUUCCAUGGGAACUAAGUCUGCAUGCAGGUGCAGAGGACCCCUGUAAAAGACAGAUCCCUGCCCAUUUACACUCUCUCUACUCUUCUCUGUCUGCUUCUGCUUCUCUUCCCUCUGCUUCUCUAUGGCGACUGGCCAUGGCAGUCAGCCAUUAACCCUGUUUCUCUUCUCUCUUACUCUACUGUUUCCCUACUCUGCCGGGCCUGUAAUAAACUGGUUAAUAUGUCUCAUCUUGUGCCUUCCUUCUCUUCUUUGUUUCUAAUUUAAACAAAAAUUUAACACUGCUCAUCGUCUAUGGCUAACUAGUGUGGCUUCUGGGACUAAAGGUGUGGCCACCACUGCCAGUCUUGCCUAUCUGACUAGUGUGGCUAGCUUUGUACUCUGAUCUUCAGGCACGCUUUACUUAUGAGAUUAUAAACAAAAUAUCACCACACAUAGUAACUGGGGAAAGGUGGAGUCUCAAGACCAGGAGAGAGACAACAUCCUUCGGAAUAGCAAGGUGGAGAAACUUAGGCUGUACUUAUCUGGAGUACAUUUGAACUAUAAAAGGUCGAUCCAAAUCUUAUGACUUCCCUGACUCCCUGAAGCUUACAUGAAUUUUGGUUUACGAAAGGAGGUAAAUUUUCUAGAUAUAUUAGCAUUAAUCUGUACUGAAAUCCACAUUGUAGAAAUAGCAGCUAACAGUGUCUGUAAAACAACUGGAAGAGAUUUACACCUUGGAGUCAUAGCAAAAGCUAUGACUGUGAGUUAAAAAGCAUGAACAUUUAUUUUUCUGUUCAGAGAGCUAGGUAUAUAGAUUAAACAGAGAUGUGUUUAGUCUAAUAAAAAGCAUCUUUAAGUCUGUAUUUAGAAGACAACCGAAGGAAAUUUAAAAUCUUGAGCUUGUGACUGAUAAUAGCAAUCUGUGUUCUACUAGCUUACAGAGCUCCACAGAUCAAUGCUAAAACUCUGAACUUCCGAGGUCUUAAGAUACAAUAGCAUAGAGAAGAAGAAAUAUAUGAAAUAUUUCUCAUGUACCUUCUAUGCUUACAAAUUGCAGCCACACACUCCAAAACAUCUUCUUACACCUUCACAAUGCAAGCUUCGUGUCCUCAGAGCUCUGCAACUUGUGCCUACACACCUUAAGUCACUUUCUUUUUUUUUCCUUUUCUCUCUUUUUUUUUUUUCCCCCCCGAGACAGGGUUUCCCUGUGGCUUUGGAGGCUGUCCUGGAACUAGCUCUUGUAGACCAGGCUGGUCUCGACCUCACAGAGAUCCUCUGCCUCUGCCUCCCGAGUGCUGGGACUAAAGGCAUGUGCCACCAACGCCUGGCCUUAAGUCACUUUCUUAUCACUAAGUAACUUUCACAUACUCAGACCUUUAUAACUGGCAUUUACACAACUUUUUCUUUUCUUUUCUUUUCUCUCCUUUCUUUCUUUCUUCUUUUUGUUUUUUGUUUUUCAAGACAGGGUUUCUCUGUGUAGAUUUGGAGCCUAUCCUGGCACUUGCUCUGGGGACCAGGCUGGCCUUGAACUCACAAAGAUCAUCUGCCUCUGCCUCGAAAGUGCUGGGAUUAAAGGCAUGUGCUACCAACUCCUGGCCUCACACACCUUUUUCUACCCAAUCAUUCACCAUGAGACACAGGUGGUUGAUCACAUUAAAGUGAGUUUUUUUUUUAAAUGAAAUAGUAAUUAAGUUACAUUAAAAUCUGUUCUGUGAGUUUGUCUCUGUUUUUGGAGUCUGGUACCAAGGUUAACUGUGUCUAUAUCUAGUUGCAGCACUAGGAAAGUGAGGCCUGGGGCCUGAUUUAUCCAUAUGAGGAGAACUGAGAAGGCAGCUGAAGCAUUGGUUGCUGCUGUUAAACUGGCAAAAUUAUGAGUAGCUUAAUCUUUAAACACCGUCAGAGAGCUUAGAAGGAAAGAUUUCACUCCGAGUGUGCAGAAGUGCAGAACAAGCAGCUUCUGGAUCUGUUAAAACUGGCAGAGACUUAC